rnacentral:rRNA from 1 species
GACGAACGCUGGCGGCGUGCUUAACACAUGCAAGUCGAACGGAAAGGCCCUGCUUUUGUGGGGUGCUCGAGUGGCGAACGGGUGAGUAACACGUGAGUAACCUGCCCUUGACUUUGGGAUAACUUCAGGAAACUGGGGCUAAUACCGGAUAGGAGCUCCUGCUGCAUGGUGGGGGUUGGAAAGUUUCGGCGGUUGGGGAUGGACUCGCGGCUUAUCAGCUUGUUGGUGGGGUAGUGGCUUACCAAGGCUUUGACGGGUAGCCGGCCUGAGAGGGUGACCGGCCACAUUGGGACUGAGAUACGGACCAGACUCCUACGGGAGGCAGCAGUGGGGAAUAUUGCACAAUGGGCGGAAGCCUGAUGCAGCAACGCCGCGUGCGGGAUGACGGCCUUCGGGUUGUAAACCGCUUUCGCCUGUGACGAAGCGUGAGAGACGGUAAUGGGUAAAGAAGCACCGGCUAACUACGUG